GUUUUCAUUGGCACUGCCAUCUUCAUGGGAGCACGCAUGACUGAGCACAAGGAAGGAAAACCACAAACAUUUUAAAAUCAUGUUAACAAACAGGGCUUAGCGGGUGCGGUGGGGUUGGGAAGAUGCAGUGAACAGCGCAGAGCCCCUGGUUGGAGACUAACCAGAGGGUCUGCGGCUCAGCUCCUCCAGACGGUCGGAGCGCCUCUCCAGGGUGUUGAGCUUGUCCUUCUGGCUGUACACCAUGUAGGCUG